AAACGUGGAGCAUUGAAACUCAAAGGGACUCCAUAGCAAUCUCGUCAUGAGUCAUGAUAUAUGGAAUUAGCCUAUAAUAGGGUAUCGCAAAGUAUCUAAGCAUUGCCAAAACUAACAUCAACUUUAAACUGCACCCAUAAAAUGGCUUAUCAGCAAACCCUAGCACCAUUUUCCCUACUUUGCCUUAUGCUCUUUGGUUUCAUGAUCAGUGGUUUGCAAGCAUGCCAUCCGAGAAAUAUAGCGGUGUAUUGGGGCCAACGUGGUAACGAUGAUCAUCGGAAGGUAGCUUGUUGAAGGCAUGCCAGUCAGGAAAUCACGACAUUGUCAACAAAGGUACAAUAGGUCAUAUAGGUAUUGAUUUGGGCCAAAGGUGGUGUUCCUAGACUCCUACUAAAUUAUUUGUAGCCUUAUACUACCUCUGUUCUUAAAAGAUUGUCGUUUAAAAUUUUUACACAUGGAUUAAGAAAGUAUCAUUUAUCAAGUAAAAUUUAUUUGAAAUUCCAUCACUACCUCUUUAUAGGAAGUUGAAAACUAUUAAUACAAGAGAGAAAAUUUCUUGGGACAAUGAGAGAAGGUAGGAGUAAUAUAGAAAAGUAAAUAAUUUAUUCUCUUCGAAAGUUGUAAACGACAAACAUUUUGGAAUAAAUUUUUUCUUUUAAAACGACAAUCUGAACGGAGGGAGUAAUACAUUUGACCUCACUAAAACAUGUACUGGCUUCGUCACUAGCUCUAGUCAUCACCGGGGACUAAUAAAAUUUGGGUACACACCCUAGUUACCAGUUGCACUCUUAAAUAUAAAUAAGUGACUAAUUCGUCUUUAAUAAAUGAGACCCAUUUUACUUAUUUAUCAUGUUCUAAUUUUAUUCUAUUACACAUAAUAAUUAUAAAAUAAAAAUAAUUUAAACAAAUACACAAUAAGUUUAGACAAUUUAAAAUGUCUAUAAAAAAAAUAAGACAAACUUAACCUCAUAAUUUUCUUUUUGGAAAAUAUAAUAUAUUCAUGCAUGUCUUAGAAAUAAUUAGCCUAAAAAGUAAUUCUAUUUUUCGAUAAUGAUAUCAAACAAACUAUUAUUCAUCUGACACUCAUUAGUCAGUUAAGUUAUUUAAUAUCAAAUAAUUAGUUUGGCUAGUAUUGUUAUUGUAAAAUAAGACACUUUUUUUCCCUGAGUCCAAUUUUCUUUUAAGAUUGAAUUUAUAUUUCUAGAGAAUCAAUUACGAGGUUUUAUUUGUUUUUUUAUAAGCGAUAUAUAGUGUUUAAUUCCAUUUUAUAUAAUUGUUUUAUUUGUUUAAUUAAAUUAUAUUUUCUUUUACAAUUAUUAAGUGUAAUAGGAUAAAGGGUAAAAAGUGAAAUAUGGGACAUAAAAUGAGAUAAGAUCUCAAUUAUUAAGGAAAAAUUAGUCACUUACAUAAAUUUUAAGUGCGCAACUAAUAAUCUUGAGUGUGCAUAUAUCACCACCUUAGAAUUAAUCAUAUAGCCAAGAGGGGAAAAAAUAUGUUUAAUUGAAUUGCACGCGGGACUCCAUUAGUUAUCUCUUCAUCAAUCAUCAUAUAUUCCCUCCACCCGUAUUAAUUUGACUAUUUUGGCAAUUCUUCAAAAAUAUAUAAAUGAACACAGAUUAAUAGAAAUAAGGAUUGACAUUGAUAGUUUCCUAUCCUUCAUGUGUUUAUUGUUCCUUACCACUAAGGUUUGUUAAAGACUAUUCAUCUCUAGGAUAUAUGUCAAGCGUAAAAGGAAGAAGAUGAAUAUAUGUCUAAAGCGCCAAUGCGACCCGAACCCACACCUCGGCCCCCGAGACACAGGCAGGCGGAUAUAUGUCAAGCGUAGAAGGAAGAAGAUGAAUAUAUGUCUAAAGCGCCAAUGCGACCCGAACCCACACCUCGGCUCCCGAGACACAGGCAGGCGGUGCUUUGCAUCACGUUAUUAUGACCAAAUUCAAGCAUUUCUUUUAGUACAACUAGUGAAUUAAACUAUUCCACAUAUACUUAUAAAGUAUUAAAUAGUUUUAUUCCUACUCGAUAUGGGACUUAAAGAAAAUAGUUUUCUUAAACAAUAAUGAACAUUUUCAUAUACUCCACUUUGAAUACAAUUAAGACACAAUAUAUAACUCCCACUUAAACCAUAUAUUGCUCUCUAUUAAUUUCCUUGUAAUAGACUAUCAAAUGCACUUUUUAUUUAAUAUAAAUUCAAUUAAUUAAUGGAUCUAAAUUAAUCUCCAAAUUAAUCAAAACUCAUGUACGAAAAGGUGUAAUUAAUAAUUCUCAAUUCCAUCUUUUUAAUUUGUGGAUAUCUUUUAAUCAAAUACAAGUAAUAUCUAUUUAAUCGAAUACAUAUAAUAUUCGGUUUAAAAAAGUCCCUACGUACGUACUAUGCUUAAAACGCCCUCUAACCAUGCCUACAAAUGGGACCAAUUAAAUUAUCUAUUUUUUUAGGUUUGUGAACGGGUACCUUCAUAACUUUGUUUUUACCGUAAAUAGAGACCAAUAGAAUAAUGUGAUGGACUCUAUAAUAUUAACAUGAUAUAUACUAUUAAAUUUUCUAUUUUAUAAUUUAAAUUUUUAGAUGAGUUAGUUAUUUAAAAUAUAGUAAUUUCCUCAUGAAUGAUAUAUGAAAUUAGCCUAUAAACGGGUAUCCCAAUGUAUCCAACAACAAACAGCAACUUUAAACCACACAUAAAAUGGCUGAUCUCAUCAAACCGUAACACCAUUUUCCAUAUUUUAUAUUAAGACAAAGUUACUACUAAACUUGUUCAAAAAAUCAUUUU
rnacentral:lncRNA from 1 species